rnacentral:rRNA from 1 species
UACCAUGCUGAAUAUACCGGUUCUCGUUAGAUCACCGAAGUCAAGCAUCAUUGGGCAUCGGUCAGUACUUGGGUGGGUGACCACCUGGGAACACCGCGUGCCGUU